rnacentral:tRNA from 2 species
AGAUAUAUAGUUAAGUUAAUAUUAAUUUGUCAAAUUAAAGAUGAGUAUAUUCC